rnacentral:tRNA from 1 species
CCGACUUAGCUCAGUAGGUAGAGCAACUGACUUGUAAGCCGUAGGUCACAGGUUCGAACCCUGUAGGGCGUACCA